GAAUAUUUAUCUUUGGUGAAUACGAGUUUUUAUGUUCAGCAUAUGGAAUUACUGGUGCAAAUGGUCGACAUGCUUGCUUGUUUUGUCAUAUAACUCGUGCAGAGAU